GGUCGAAUUCCCAUUUGAGGACCGGGCCUGUAGGGUCAGGUCUGGGCAAGUGGUGUUGACGAUUGGGUCUUGCGCAAUGAGGCUUCAUGAACCCCGUCAGGUCCGGGAGGAAGCAGCGGUAAGUGGAUAACCUCAUGUGCCGCGAGGGCGCCUAGUCUGAGCUAACUACCUGGGUGCCGCCUGGAGGUACCAGUUCGAGGAUGGGUGCACGG
rnacentral:SRP_RNA from 1 species